AUGGAAAUCUCGUAAUU
rnacentral:tRNA from 1 species